rnacentral:rRNA from 1 species
CGCGCAGGUGGUUUCUUAAGUCUGAUGUGAAAGCCCACGGCUCAACCGUGGAGGGUCAUUGGAAACUGGGAGACUUGAGUGCAGAAGAGGAUAGUGGAAUUCCAAGUGUAGCGGUGAAAUGCGUAGAGAUUUGGAGGAACACCGGUGGCGAAGGCGACUGUCUGGUCUGUAACUGACACUGAGGCGCGAAAGCGUGGGAGCAAACA